rfam:Schistosoma mattheei strain Denwood, Zambia genome assembly, scaffold: SMTD_scaffold0001079
GCAUUGUUGAGGAGUCUCAUACUAGGACGAAACAGCUGUCCAAUGC